rnacentral:lncRNA from 1 species
GUCUUCAAUUAGGCUUAGCUCACUCUGCAGGUGUUCGGAAGCUUCAUUUAUAGAUGUGCUUGUGGCAAAAACAGCUGUAUCAUCAGCAUAUGUUGCAACAGUGCAGUUGUUUGUAACUGAAAUGUCGGCCGUAUAUAGGGUGUAAAGAAUUGGUCCCAAUACGCUUCCUUGUGGGACGCCUGCGGUGAUGAGAAGUAGUGAUGAAGUAUCGGUUUUCUGCUGCACGUAAAAGCAUCUUUUAGCCAGAUAUGAUUUGAUUAAUAAAUAUUACAGAGCAGGUAGCCAUUUCUUUAUCUUGUACAACAAACCUUUGUGCCAGACUCGAUCGAACGCUUGUUGAACAUCAAGAAAUGCAGCAGUGCAGUAUUUUUUGUUUUCAAAUGCCGAAACUAUAUCAUUAAUAACCCUGUGACAUUGCUCAGGGGUCCCAUGACCCCUCCUGAAUCCGAAUUGGUAUUCAGGAAUGAUGGAAAGUUCGUCUAAAAUUGGUAACAUUCUCUUCAAUAGUAUUUUUUCAAACACUUUCGAGAAAAUUGUCAACAGACUAAUGGGACGGUAUGAUGUCAAUUCCGUUUCUAUUUUGUUUGGUUUUAGGAUCAUAACGAUCUCUGCACAUUUCCAUUGACUUGGAAAGUGGUCUAGUCUGAGAAUCGCGUUAAAUAUAAGAGUGAGAAACCCAAUGCAUUUUGGUGGUAAACUCUUUAGGGUGAUACCAUAUAUUUUAUAAGGGCCUAGUGCUUUUCUAUUGUUCAAGCAUUUGAUUUCUGUCACAACUUCUUCAUAUUUGAUGCUUUUAAUAGGCAAGCUCAUUUGGCAGGGUGACUCAAGGAAUUUUUCUACUUC